UACGUACUCCCUUCAUUCCGAAUUACUUGUCGUAGGUAUGUAUGUAUCUAGAUGUAUUUUAGUUCUAGAUACAUCCAUUUCUACGACGAGUAAUUUGAAACGAAGGGAGUAUCUU
rfam:Triticum aestivum genome assembly, contig: Triticum_aestivum_CS42_TGACv1_scaffold_307232_4AS